rnacentral:rRNA from 1 species
UACGAAGGGGGCUAGCGUUGCUCGGAAUCACUGGGCGUAAAGGGUGCGUAGGCGGGUCUUUAAGUCAGGGGUGAAAUCCUGGAGCUCAACUCCAGAACUGCCUUUGAUACUGAAGAUCUCGAGUCCGGGAGAGGUGAGUGGAACUGCGAGUGUAGAGGUGAAAUUCGUAGAUAUUCGCAAGAACACCAGUGGCGAAGGCGGCUCACUGGACUGGUACUGACGCUGAUGCGCGAAAGCGUGGGGAGCAAACGGG